UCAGUUUCCUCCACAACCUUGAGUUUCUGAACCUUCAAUCGAAUCAUUUCACUGGACUAAUCCCAUCAAGUCUAGGCAACAUCACCCAACUAACGUAUCUCUACCUAGAUGACAAUCAGCUCGAAGGGAGCAUUCCUACAGAGCUUGGACAAUUAGCAAAGUUGUUUCAAUUGAGCCUAGGAAAGAACAAGCUAUCAGGCGCUUGGGUUGAACAAUAACAAGUUCCAUGGUCAAAUCCCUGCCUCUCUAGGUAAGACUACCAACCUCUCGAUAAUACAACUCCAAUCUAACUAUUUCACCGGUCCAGUUCCUAGUUCAUUGGGAAAUCUUCCCUACCUGUCAAAUCUAAUACUAGAUCAAAACAAGCUUCAAGCAAAUGACAGUAAGAGCUGGGAAUUCUUAGACCCGUUGAGCAACAGUAGUGAUCUGCAAGUGCUCUCAUUAUAUGACAAUCAGCUACAGGGAGCCAUACCAAAUUCAAUAGGAAAGCUGUCCCCCGGUCUUCAGUACCUAGCGUUAGACAAAAACAAUUUGUCCGGGACGGUUCCAGAGAGCAUUUGUAACCAUGAUGGAUUAUCUACUUUUUUUCUAUGUGAAAACAAUCUGGCUGGUCCAAUUGGAUCAUGGGUUGGAAAGUUACAUAAUUUGGUAAAAUUUGAUAUUUCAUACAACUACUUUAGUGGGUCGAUUCCAUCCUCCAUUGGAAGCUUUACCCAGUUAACAAAGCUCUACAUACAAAACAACAAAUUUGAUGGUUUCAUACCUCCCAGUUUGGGAAACCUACGGCUCUUGGUUUUGGACCUUAGUUACAACAAUCUUCAAGGUACCAUACCUAAUGAGAUCUUCCCUCCUAUGUCCCCAGUGACCAACUGUGUAUUGUCCAACAACAAUUUAGAAGGUCAGAUACCUCCGGAGGUUGGUAACCUUAGACAACUCAUAGAGCUGCAUCUUUCAUCAAACAGGAUAACUGGGGAAAUUCCUGAUAGUUUGGGCCAUUGUCAAGAGUUACAAGAAAUAAAGAUUGACCAGAACUUUCUCACAGGAAACAUUCCAAUGUCAUUGGGCAAUAUGAAGAGUUUGAGCAUGAUCCAUCUUUCCCAUAAUAACUUAUCAGGUGUCAUCCCUACACCUCUAGCCGAUCUCCAAUUUCUCACUCUGCUAGACUUAUCAUACAAUAAUCUCAAAGGAGAAAUACCAAUCAAUGGAGUAUUUGCAAAUGCAACUGUUUCACUCAACAGCAACUGGGGGCUUUGUGGAGGAGUGAAAGAUCUCCAUAUGCCUGCAUGCAUGCUCUGCAGUUUCUUGGAGAAUAAAAUGGAAAGUGUAUUUGACAAUCUUACUGAUUAUGAUAUUUGGUUUCAUGUCAUGCGCAAUGUCAGUUUAUGUUAUACUCCUUGUGAAGAAUAAAUCAAGAAGUCCAUACUUAAUGUUGCUUUCUUUUGGUAAGAAAUUCCCUAGAGUUUCUUACAAGGAUCUAGCUCAAGCUACAGGGAACUUUUUGGAGUCCAACCUUAUUGGGAGAGGAAGCUAUGGUUCAGUAUACAGAGGGAAAUUAACUCAA